GGGUUGUGAGGUUAAGCGACUAAGCGUACACGGUGGAUGCCCUGGCAGUCAGAGGCGAUGAAGGACGUGCUAAUCUGCGAAAAGCGUCGGUAAGGUGAUAUGAACCGUUAUAACCGGCGAUGUCCGAAUGGGGAAACCCAGUGCAAUUCGUUGCACUAUCGUUAACUGAAUACAUAGGUUAACGAGGCGAACCGGGGGAACUGAAACAUCUAAGUACCCCGAGGAAAAGAAAUCAACCGAGAUUCCCCCAGUAGCGGCGAGCGAACGGGGAGCAGCCCGGAGUCUGAAUCAGCUUGUGUGUUAGUGGAAGCGUCUGGAAAGUCGCAGGGUACAGGGUGAUACUCCCGUACACUAAAACACACAGGCUGUGAACUCGAAGAGUAGGGCGGGACACGUGGUAUCCUGUCUGAAUAUGGGGGGACCAUCCUCCAAGGCUAAAUACUCCUGACUGACCGAUAGUGAACCAGUACCGUGAGGGAAAGGCGAAAAGAACCCCGGCGAGGGGAGUGAAAAAGAACCUGAAACCGUGUACGUACAAGCAGUAGGAGCCCACUUGUUGGGUGACUGCGUACCUUUUGUAUAAUGGGUCAGCGACUUAUAUUCUGUAGCAAGGUUAACCGUAUAGGGGAGCCGCAGGGAAACCGAGUCUUAACUGGGCGUUAAGUUGCAGGGUAUAGACCCGAAACCCGGUGAUCUAGCCAUGGGCAGGUUGAAGGUUGGGUAACACUAACUGGAGGACCGAACCGACUAAUGUUGAAAAAUUAGCGGAUGACUUGUGGCUGGGGGUGAAAGGCCAAUCAAACCGGGAGAUAGCUGGUUCUCCCCGAAAGCUAUUUAGGUAGCGCCUCGUGAAUUCAUCUUCGGGGGUAGAGCACUGUUUCGGCUAGGGGGUCAUCCCGACUUACCAACCCGAUGCAAACUACGAAUACCGAAGAAUGUUAUCACGGGAGACACACGGCGGGUGCUAACGUCCGUCGUGAAGAGGGAAACAACCCAGACCGCCAGCUAAGGUCCCAAAGUCAUGGUUAAGUGGGAAACGAUGUGGGAAGGCCCAGACAGCCAGGAUGUUGGCUUAGAAGCAGCCAUCAUUUAAAGAAAGCGUAAUAGCUCACUGGUCGAGUCGGCCUGCGCGGAAGAUGUAACGGGGCUAAACCAUGCACCGAAGCUGCGGCAGCGACACUAUGUGUUGUUGGGUAGGGGAGCGUUCUGUAAGCCGUUGAAGGUGGCCUGUGAGGGUUGCUGGAGGUAUCAGAAGUGCGAAUGCUGACAUAAGUAACGAUAAUGCGGGUGAAAAACCCGCACGCCGGAAGACCAAGGGUUCCUGUCCAACGUUAAUCGGGGCAGGGUGAGUCGACCCCUAAGGCGAGGCCGAAAGGCGUAGUCGAUGGGAAACAGGUUAAUAUUCCUGUACUUGGUGUUACUGCGAAGGGGGGACGGAGAAGGCUAUGUUGGCCGGGCGACGGUUGUCCCGGUUUAAGCAUGUAGGCGGAUGUUCCAGGUAAAUCCGGAACGUCACUAACGCUGAGGUGUGAUGACGAGGCACUACGGUGCUGAAGUGACAAAUGCCCUGCUUCCAGGAAAAGCCUCUAAGCAUCAGGUAACAUCAAAUCGUACCCCAAACCGACACAGGUGGUCAGGUAGAGAAUACCAAGGCGCUUGAGAGAACUCGGGUGAAGGAACUAGGCAAAAUGGUGCCGUAACUUCGGGAGAAGGCACGCUGAUGGUAAGUGAAGUGACUUGCUCAUGGAGCUGAAAUCAGUCGAAGAUACCAGCUGGCUGCAACUGUUUAUUAAAAACACAGCACUGUGCAAACACGAAAGUGGACGUAUACGGUGUGACGCCUGCCCGGUGCCGGAAGGUUAAUUGAUGGGGUUAUCCUCGCGGAGAAGCUCUUGAUCGAAGCCCCGGUAAACGGCGGCCGUAACUAUAACGGUCCUAAGGUAGCGAAAUUCCUUGUCGGGUAAGUUCCGACCUGCACGAAUGGCGUAAUGAUGGCCAGGCUGUCUCCACCCGAGACUCAGUGAAAUUGAACUCGCUGUGAAGAUGCAGUGUACCCGCGGCAAGACGGAAAGACCCCGUGAACCUUUACUAUAGCUUGACACUGAACACUGGUCCUUGAUGUGUAGGAUAGGUGGGAGGCUUUGAAGUGUGGACGCCAGUCUGCAUGGAGCCAUCCUUGAAAUACCACCCUUUAAUGGCUGGUGUUCUAACGUGGGCCCGUAAUCCGGGUUGCGGACAGUGUCUGGUGGGUAGUUUGACUGGGGCGGUCUCCUCCUAAAGAGUAACGGAGGAGCACGAAGGUCAGCUAAUCCUGGUCGGACAUCAGGAGGUUAGUGCAAUGGCAUAAGCUGGCUUGACUGCGAGCGUGACGGCGCGAGCAGGUGCGAAAGCAGGUCAUAGUGAUCCGGUGGUUCUGAAUGGAAGGGCCAUCGCUCAACGGAUAAAAGGUACUCCGGGGAUAACAGGCUGAUACCGCCCAAGAGUUCAUAUCGACGGCGGUGUUUGGCACCUCGAUGUCGGCUCAUCACAUCCUGGGGCUGAAGUAGGUCCCAAGGGUAUGGCUGUUCGCCAUUUAAAGUGGUACGCGAGCUGGGUUUAGAACGUCGUGAGACAGUUCGGUCCCUAUCUGCCGUGGGCGCUGGAGAAUUGAGGGGGGCUGCUCCUAGUACGAGAGGACCGGAGUGGACGCAUCACUGGUGUUCGGGUUGUCAUGCCAAUGGCAUUGCCCGGUAGCUAAAUGCGGAAGAGAUAAGUGCUGAAAGCAUCUAAGCACGAAACUUGCCCCGAGAUGAGUUCUCCCUGACUCCUUGAGAGUCCUGAAGGAACGUUGAAGACGACGACGUUGAUAGGCCGGGUGUGUAAGCGCAGCGAUGCGUUGAGCUAACCGGUACUAAUGAACCGUGAGGCUUAACCUUACAACGCCGAAG
rnacentral:rRNA from 1 species